CCCUAGCCCAGAUAGAAACGGCAUCCUUUGGGUUCGUUGUUCGAACCCAAAGAUAUAGUGGAUAGCUGGAUUAGCU
rnacentral:sRNA from 1 species